AUUCAAGUAAAGUACUCCCCAAUCAGAGGCCUUUCCACAAAUUUGUUGAAAAUCCACGUGACCAGAACAAGGAAUCUUCAUCCAACUCACAGACGUUCUCUCGUGCGCUUCGUCGAGAGUAACGUCUAUACACAGGCUAUAGGUUUAUUAUUGCCCAUUGUUAAAAAGUGGAGGGCCCCAAAGACAUUUUCCCUCCCCCCCUCCCUCCCCAACUGAAAAACUAAAACACAAGUUUAAAAAAGUGAAUUUGAGGUACGAGAAAAAUAGCCCGUCAUAGAAAUAUAGCCGUUUAAAUAAAACUGUUCAAUGCUAAUUUUUUUUAUUACAGGACUAAAAGCGCUCAAAUAGAAUCCAUGCUGAUACAUGAGAAGACAAAAACUAGGAUAUGUAGCAAAGCACUUGGAGUAAAAUAAAACACAUACUUAUAGUAAUGAUUAUAAGCGCU